GGACUGCAGCCCUCGGUCCUGCUGCUGGGGCGUGAGCUCUCGUCUGAGUCAGCCUGGAAGAGACCCCUCUCCAGAGAGGUUGUGAUGACUGCAGAUCUGGCUGUCAUCUGGACAGCAGCCUGAGCGACAGCCUGGGCCACAGGGCCCACGGAGUGGUGGCCAGGCUCCUGAGCCACAGACACGGUGAGUCCUGAAGGCUAAGGACUGAAUCCGGUCCCUCUCAAAUCUGCAUGUUGAAGGCCUACCCUGCACUGUGGUUAUAUUUGGAGAUGUAGCCUUUAGGGAGGUAAUUGAGAUUAAAACUGAGGUCCAAGGGGGAGCCUGAUCUGCUAGGACUGGUGCCCUUGCCAGAGGAGCGAGACGGACACCAGGGCUGCACGUGGAGAGAAAUGUGCAUGAGGACGGUGAGAAGGUGGCCCACGGGAGAGACCGUGAGAGGAAGUGAACCUGCUGAUACCCUCAUCUCGGUUUUCUAGCUUCCAGAAACCUGAGAGAAUAAAUAAACUUCCAGUCCGUGGUGCCCUGUUAUGAUACCCUCAGCUGACUGAUACAAGCUGCUCAGUUUGGGGGUCAUUUGUUACACAGCAAAGGACGACAAAUACAACCAUCAGCCGACACUGCACUCCCAUUCCCUCUGGGCUGGGAGCCGGGUAGAACAAGACCAAAGCCCUGGCCCAUAAGAAUGGAUCUCAGUCCACACGGAAAGACAAACACAGAAGAUGAAGUAAAAGGCUAGGGUGGGAGAAGACCCCUCAGGACGAAGACACCGCUUGGGGAGACGUGGAUGCAGGAGAGACCACGACACAUGGUCCUGCCCGCUCUGUGCUCCCCCUGGGGACACAGGCUCGGCCUUCUCAGAUACAGCAUCCUCUCCACGUUGUAGCUGAUGCGUGGACGCCGAAAGAGGUUAUGUUGGCUGAGGUCCCGAAGCUCAUCCCGGAGUCGCCAGGAUUCACGGGCAGGUCUGCAAGGGGAGAAGAGAAGAGCUCCUUGGAGGGUGUCAGCUCCUCAGGGGUCAGGCAGAGGGAGAAGCCAGGAGGGACACAGAGACACCGUGGGAAUGAUAGGAGGAGAUUAAUAUUUCCCCAGAAUCAAAGAUAAGAGCUUUUCUCGGUUGGAAUCGUGUUCGAUGCCCAAGACAGCCGAGACCUCAGACAGGAUGAAGCCCCCCGGCCCCAAGAGCAACCUCCAUUGGCAGCGGGGUCAUUGCUGAUGUGACUGGUUAAGGGGCAGGAGGAGAGUGAGCCCUGAUGAGCCCUGAAGGAGGCGCCUGUGCAGACGGACAAGGAGGAGCCCCUCGCAGACCCCAGCGGAGACCGAGGUCAGGAAGGGCGGGGCACAGGGCGGCUGGGGCUUCUGGAAGCUGAAAGCGGCAAGAGGUUCUCGGGCAGGCUUCAGAGGGAGCCCCGCCUUCCUGAAGCCUUGAUCUUGGACAGUAAGAGAAUAGACCUCUGCUGUUUCACCCCACUCCCCAGCCCCAAAUCCCCCAUCCUCACAGCAAGAAUCCCAGUGUCUUACUUAAAGAAGACAAGGCGUGAAAGCAUUCAAAUGAAGACCUUCGUUAACUUUUUGUACAUACUGCACUACGCUUCGUCUUUAAAGGUCAGACAGUUUGCUUCAGAAAACAAAGAGAGAUUGAGCCUUGCAACAGUUUCGUGGCCACCUUGGCCCAGUUUUCUCAUCGUUAAAACAUCGCCGGGACUCGACGGCUGGCCUUCACGCCCCCCACACAGCCCAGCCGCUCACACCCCAUCAUCCGUGUUUGAUUUUUACCCCAUCUGCAUCCAGCGAGGAUGUGAGGCCGUGGCAUCAAAACAGCAUCAGGUUUUACGCCUUCCUAGCCCGGGAAGCCUGCAAAGACGAGACAGUAAAAUAUGUGCUAAUAAAUGGUUCUGCGUCUACUGCCUGCUGCAAGGGUGAUCAAUUUUUGUGACUCGUGUAUGAAGAUGUAUCUCUCUAAUACCGGGGACUCGGCUUCUUUAUUUAUUUCAUCAAUUUCGUUCUUUUGUUUUCCCGGCGAUUUCUAGGAAUGAUGAACGGAUGGCGGUUUAGCACAAACUGUGAACCUGCGCCCCCCCAACCCCCACCCCCACGCCCCGCCGCCUCUUGGCUCCCCGGGUGCAGCUUAGAGAGUCAUGGAUGGUGGAGGGUGUGUGCUGGUUCUCUCCGCCGUCUGUCUCUCUGACUCCAGGCGGCACUCUGGUUCUCGACGGGCUGCAGGGGACACAUCAGUUUUUGGUGACUCGGGAGGAGAGCACCACUCAGGGCCAGCAGGUCUGCUCUCCAGCCCUGCUCUGUCAUUGAGCAAGACGGCGAAGCUGGGAAUUGAGAUGCUGCCCUGAGCAGGGAUCCGAUCUGCACUGCAGGUGGGACCUACCCCACAGUGGCAACGGCAGAUCCUUCAACCGCUGUGCUGGGCCGGGCAGAGAACCUGUGUCCCGGCGCUGCAGAGACCCGAACGAUCCCAUUGCACCACAGCAGGAACGCCAACAGUAGGAAAACCACCCCAUUUCUCCCAGGUGGCCCCCUCAGGACCUGGAAAAGCUUUUCCCUAAGGGCUCACACCUUCUUUCCUCUGUUCCCCCUCCCCGUGACACAUGCACCUGCAGGCUGAUUCCUUUGCAUCCCCCUUGGGACCUAGCCUAAAUGCGGCCCGGGGACACUCGCUGGCCAACCCGUCAGGGUGGGGAGGGCCUGGGGGCCAGGAUGCAAAGAGGAGUCUCCCGUGCUUAUUUCCUGCAGGAGACAAGCUUGCUGGGUGUUAAGUGGGAAAUUCACCUCAGUGAUCUGUCUUUUCAUCUGUCAGAUGAUUAGCAACAGGCCCUAUGCUCUCAGAUGAAGGGCUCACGGGACCCUGGGAAGCUGCGUUUGUCUCCUUUGGAGAAAGAAGGGCUGAGGGUGGGACUUAGGUGGCAGAGGGUGUGGCCAUAACCUUUCCCCAGAUGGGAUGGGACGGGGGAACCAGAAAGGGAGGGGGCAGUCCAUGUCCUUUUCUUGGAUCAAAAUGGCAAAACAUGGGAUUUCAUUCUUCCCUCCCUUUUCUCCAAAAUCAACGGAUUUUACAGCCUAUUCUCAAUCGAUUCUACUAAACAGAAUGUGCAGAUUAAAAGUGAAAAAGGCAGAGAGCCGGUGACCCGGCUUCGGGUUGAGUCACCUUUGGUUUCUUCUUUCAAUCUGGAAGUCCUUUACCUCCCAGUAUUCAUCGUAAUGGCUGGUUUCAAAUACGUCUUUCUUUAGUCUCUCAAGGAAAGUGCUCAGCAUUUUUGGUCGUGACUGGGUUGGGCAUCUUGUGGCCUCGGGACUCGUAUCCAGUUGGGGGUGGGGACAACCUGGGUGCCAGCCUGGCCUUGUAGCAGCAGCUCCAUCCUUACCACCUCGUGUGAGGUGUUGAUUUAAUGGGUCCAGGCAGAAAUCGGCCAGAUGAAUAAAAAAUUGAACCAGGAUCAGGGACAAGGCCAAGGAGAAGCAUCUGACAGCACCAGGGGGUCUUAUGAUCCACGAGGAACUUCAAAGCCAUCUGUCAUUACAGGGUACAGCUAAGUAGAUAUUUCGACUGGAUAAGUUGUGGGCACGAGCGGGUAUGAAGAUUAUAAAUUAAUACCGUAAGAUGAAGCUCUCCAUCCUGCAUCCUGCAGAGGCGUCCUGCGGCUCCUGCAGGUGAAGAAGAAAGACAGAAGGCAGGCAGAGGACAUGGGGAGAGGGCCAUAGGGUCCUGUUCCAUUUCAAGAAGAGAGAGAGAAACUUCUAUUAUAAUUAUUGUCUUAAGGUUAUGGAGCUUCAUUGUAAAACAAAAGCAGCAUAUCCUGUACUUUUUCAGAAAAUCAUAACUGUGUUAUCACCCGAAGUAGAACCAUUUAGUUUAUACAUAUUGAGAUGGUGUCAUUAUCAGAUGUCAUCUGGAAGCCCUAAAAUGGCUUUUAAAACCAUCUCUUUGGUUUGUAAUAAAAGUCCAGCAUGUCUGGGUAUCACGUCCCCAUGGUACAUGGGGUUGUUGUCUUCAGAACUGGUUAUCUGCCCUGACGUGAUGGUUCUCAGAUGAAGAGGCAAUGGCAUUUCACCAGAGGAUGCAGUCUUGCCCAAAGGUGGGUUCUUUUUAUUUUUUUUAAUUUUUUAAUUUUUUUGCUUUUUUUAAGGCUGCACCCGUGGCAUAUGGAGCUUCCCAGGCUAGGGGUUGAAUCAGAACUAUAGCUGCCAGCCUACACUACAGCCAGAGCAAUGCAGGAUCUGAGCCCCAUCUGCAACCUAUACCAGAGAUCAUAGCCAUGCACCAUCCUUGACCCACUGAGCGAGGCCAGGUAUUGAACAUACAUCCUCAUGGAUCCUAGUCAGAUUCGUUUCCUCUGAGCCAAGGCAGGAACUCCCCAAAGGUGGGUUCUAUCAAGACCCCAGUGACCACAGGAAGAAAGCAGAUAAGACCUGGUACUUCGGUUAGUCUUAUGGCUCAUCUACAUCCGUGAUGCUCUAAGGUGGGGGUGGGGAGUGAAGAAGGGAGGAAGUGUGGAAGACAUGAAAUACUCAUUUUUUUUUUCCUUUCUUUCUUUUUUUUUUUCAAUGGCUGCACCUGUGGCAUAUGGAAGUUCCAGGCGAGGGGUCAAAUCGGAACAGCAGCUGAGACCUACACCACAGCCACGGCCACACUGGAUCUGAGCCCCUUCUGCAGCCUACACCACAGCUCGCCCACCUAGAGAGGCCAGGGAUCCAACCUGCAUCUUCACAGAGGCAACAUCGCGUCCUCAACCUGCUGAGCCCCUACGGGAACUCGAACUACUCAUAUCUAUGUUCCUUGAUUCACGAACAGGAAGCGUGUUGUGGUUACAUUGUGUCCUCUGCCCGCCCAAAUGCCUGAGCCAGUCCUGACCUCUAGGACCUGGGCAUGCAGCUUGGUUUGGAAACAGGUCUUUGCAGAUGCCAUGCAGUCAAGAUGAAGUCACGUGGAGGGGGGCCUCUGUCCCGUAACUUGUGUCCUUACAGAAGACAAGGCCACGCGGGGCGAGACAGCUGCGAGCCAGUCCACACCAACCAUCUCUGGCAAGAACUGGCGGCGGGGAGGGGCACGGCCCAGCAGACCCUUAUCUCAGACUUCUGGCCUCCAGAGCUGCAAGGAAGUGGACUCUUACCGUUUACGCCCCUCAGUUUGCAGUACCUUGUUCUGGCCGCCCUGGGAAGCAGACACAAAUCCUAGCAGUCGUGCUGUGUCUCUUGCAGACGAGGUGCUAGCUGCUGACGCCUUACAGCUCAGGCAGCUCUUUAUGUAUCAAAUAUCAACUUGAUUUGCCUAAUACAGACUUUCUUUGCAAACACGUCCACCUGGCCCUCGAUGAAGAGUUUAAUGAUUCUGACUCCAACUAGCAAAGCUGCUACAAGACAAACAGCCCUUAUUUCCUAAAGACUGAGUCCCAAGGCUAAGCAGCCACCCUGGGACCGAACCUGGAGGGCAGAGCACAGUUUGUGACUCGAAUAAUUUCUUUUUCCUUCUGCCAUGGGUGUUAGCCACCAGUCUUCAGCUCAGACACUAGACUUGGAUGUUACAGAAUAUUGGUGAUGCUGUAAUUAUCAGAAGAGCCGGUUCCCUCCUUGUGAAGAGAGCUGAGUGGAAGACGGGGGGCACUUCCAGGGACCCUGGGCAGCCCUGAUUUAUCCGAUUCAUGGGUCGACCUCUGCUUAGCUAUAUUUGUUGUUCAUAAAACUCAGCGGACGGACGUCUCUGCUGGCGUCCACGCUGGACAGCAGUGGUCCUGCGGAAGGGCUUCCGGAGAGAAACUGAAAGGCAACGAUUUAAAACAAAAACAAGACAUCGCUCACACUUACACUUAUUGAGAGAAAAUGUUUGCUAUUGAAUUUCUUUAGAACGGAUUAUACAUCUUAAAGAUUUUGACGCUUACUUUUCUAAAAUUUGAAAGAUGUGUCAGUGCUAAAAAAUACAAACUUGCUUUUGUGUUGUUGGCCAUCCCUGCGGUACACAGGCGCUCCCACGCCUGGGAUCAAACCUGCACCACAGCAGUAAUAACAUCGGAUACUGAACCCCCUACGCCACCAGGGAACUCCAAUACAAACUUUUUAAAGGAUGUUUUUAAAAGAUGAGAC
rnacentral:lncRNA from 9 species